AUUGUAUAAGUGACCGUACUGUAAACCGACACUGGUGGGUAGGUAGAGAAUACUACGGCUAUGAGAUAACUCUGGUGAAGGAACUAGGCAACAUGACACCGUAACUUUGGAAGAAGGUGUGCCCUUGAUGGUGAUGAGACUUGCUCUUUGAGCUGUUGGGGGUUGCAGUUACCAGGUGGCUGCGACUGUUUAUCAAAAACACAGCACUCUGCGAAAUCGUACGAUGAAGUUUAGG
rnacentral:rRNA from 1 species